rnacentral:rRNA from 1 species
UCUUGAAAUUUAAAGAAUUUGGCGGUAUUUAAGUCUGGUUAGAGGAACCUGUUCUGUAAUCGAUAUGCCACGUAUAAUUUUACCUUAUUUAGUAUUCAGUUUGUAUAUCUCCAUUUAUAAGUUAUAUUUCAAAAAAAUUUCUGAGAUAGAAGAGUUCUCGUAAAUUAGGUCAAGGUGCAGCUAAUAGUAAGGAAGUUAUGGGUUACAAUGUGUUUUAUGGUUGGAUAAAGCUCUGAAAAAAGUUUUUGAAAUUGGAUUUAAUUGUAAUUUUAGAUUAAAGUGCUAAAAUGAUACUAGCUCUUAAAUAUGUACAUAUCGCCCGUCGCAAAGA